AUGAGUGGUGUUUGGUUUGAUACGGGUGGUCGGCUCCCUGCUUGAGCAGGCACGGCCACGCGUGCAUUCCUUUUCAGUUGUGCGGCAAGGCUUGUAUCGUCUUGAUCGUAUAAGUGGGUUUCUUGUGUUGCAUACCUGAUCAAUGGCAUCGUUUUGAUCAAAAUGGUUCCUUUUUCGUCUGACGAUGCACUUAUUGCGUUGUCGGAUGAACCGUGUAGCAUCCUCUUUGAUCCAUACAGUUGACGUGUACUCGUUGAUUGUUUGGCCCGUUGAGGGUGACUUGGUCUCUCGGAUAUGGAAGCCAAGGUGGGCAUGGGUUCGCAAGUUCCCUUUAUUGCCCUCAUUGAGCGUUCUCGCUUCUCUUACACGACUGCCUUUCACGUAUGGCACGUCCCAGCGUGUUUGGCUAUGUCGAAGAGGAAU
rnacentral:misc_RNA from 1 species